UAGAGAUUAGUUGGAUGAUCAGUUAGUUAUAAUUAGAUAGUUUGUUACAUUGGAAUGUGUGCUACAUGUGAAGUAGCUGCAUUUGUAUAUAUGUGAAUGAUACACAUGAAAUAAACCACUUUUUCAUUUCCCAAAUUUAUCUUUAUCAGUUUCAGAGCUUAGUUCUUUUCUCUGUUCUCUCUUUGUUCAAUGUUCAUCAAGUUCAUCAAUGGAGAAUGAAGAAUUCUUCAUAGAUCCUCUAUAAUUCAACAGGAUUAAAAACUUCUUUAGGUUCAGGGGAUUCAACAGCUUAUAUAUAUAGUCAAAAAGGUCCAUUUCUUUUUCUUGUUUGUACUGUGCAAUUAUUUCGGCGUAAGGGGAUCCAAUUGACCCCCCUUGCCUAAAACUAGCAAUGCCCUGUCAAUGAGGAUGGAUAUAAGUGAGUAUCCCACCUUGUUUGACAUUGAGGCAUGGUUGUUGUCGUCAUCAUAAAUCAAACCUUGACUUCAUUGACCCUAAGCAUUUUCGUUCUACUUAAAUUAUACCUACAAAGUUGUGAACUUAUUUCAGAUGAUUCUAACUAUUUUUUGAAGAAUCAGUUGAAGCUUUGGUGGUUCUGAUCAGAACAAAAGUCUUUAUUCCUUAUAACCAUUCCUUUUUGGUUGAACAAGGGGAAUAUAACUGUUAGUAAACAGAAGCUAGCAUUAUGAAACUGUUGAGGUCAGCCCUUUUCUUUUCCUAAGUUGUAUAACUGCGCAAGAGAUAAUCAUGGGACAAAAACCAGAAGUGACAAACUAUGACAUAAAAAGUAAUAAUGUUACAAAAAGUUUAUGGCUCUUUUGGGACAACAACAACAUCAUAGGUUUGUGAUUUUCUUCUCUUGCUUUCUUGUGGUUAUAACUAAUCAAGCUUUCAACUUUUGAUAAUUUAGAAAAUGCAAAUAUUUCUCGA